rnacentral:rRNA from 1 species
AACCCCUAUCCCUAGUUGCUAGCAGUUCGGCUGAGAACUCUAGGGAGACUGCCGGUGACAAACCGGAGGAAGGUGGGGAUGACGUCAGGUCAUCAUGGCCCUUACGGCCAGGGCUACACACGUGCUACAAUGGCGCGCACAGAGGGCUGCAAACCCGCGAGGGGGAGCCAAUCUCACAAAACGCGUCGUAGUCCGGAUCGCAGUCUGCAACUCGACUGCGUGAAGUCGGAAUCGCUAGUAAUCGUGAAUCAGAAUGUCGCGGUGAAUACGUUCCCGGGCCUUGUACACACCGCCCGUCACACCAUGGGAGUGGAUUGCACCAGAAGUGGUUAGUCUAACCUUCGGGAGGACGAUCACCACGGUGUGGUUCAUGACUGGGGUGAAGUCGUAACAAGGUAGCCGUAGGGGAACCUGCGGCUGGAUCACCUCCUU